CAGUACUUAUUCCUAUCUAUCAUUUUUUCAACUUAUUCCUACUGCCUAAACAUUUCAAACUAUCUCAAACCUGAGGAGUGAAUUGUGGCUAAAUAGCUUGAGGAAAAUGUUUAACGAGGAACCCACUGAACCUGUGCACGGUAGCUGUAUGAGACAGAAAAUCCCACAACGGAAGGAAUAACGUUAAGCCGAAAACUGGGUCCCAGCUGACAGCCAGACGAAUCUCUGACCUGGCGAUCCCGGAUCUACACCCCACAACUGACAAUUAACGUUAAACCGAACCCGAGAAGAUGAAUGAGUGCGAGAAUAUCCUUGAAUCUGUCGAACCUCAGAGGAACUGGGGGACCCCAUAUCGGUACUUCUCGGCGAAAAAUAACG